GUUCAGCCAAUAAGAUGUCACUUGGACUUCCAAUUACAUUUACAUUUUACAAUCAAAGUGAUGUUAAUCACUUUGGUUGCAUAAUGUUGGCCUGCCUAUAAAUCCAACAACUUUCUUGUUGGGACAAACACAGCAUUGUUGGGUCAUACAAGCAUUGUAUCCAGACCAAGAGAAGCACAGAAAGACAAAAUGGGACUCCUUUUCUUACUUGUUAUUGGUGCAGUUUCAGGCCCAGCUGCAGUGAUUGUUGCACCCGCUAUUACGGUCGCCGCUGCUGUCGCGGUGACCAGUAGCACUGCAACGGCAGCAGCCACUGCAACGGCAGCAGGCAUUGCAGCGACUAUCUUGUGAGUCUUGAAGGACCACCUUGAACCAUGUCAAACCAUUUCAAAUGCUCCAACGCAGCGCCGUUGGAAAGAAUAAAAUGUAACUCCCCU